UGUUCCACUUGUCUUGCCAAU
rnacentral:piRNA from 1 species